CUCUCUCUCUCUCUCUCUCUCUAUUUCCUCUCCUACUUAUUAUGAAACACAAACCAACUUCUCUAAAUGGGGUGGUUGCAGUCCCUCUUCUCCCCAUUGAAGAAGAUAUGGCUUCGCCUGCAUUCAGUCCACAAGAAGAGAAGAGGGAUAUAUAUUCUCUAUGAGGAUGUGAAGUCCUGCCCUUGUGAGGAUGUACACGUGCUGUGGUCCAUCUUAGUGGAGUCACAUGCACCACGCUUGCCAUCCACACAAUGACUGUCCCUGUGGGCCCCAUAGCCAAAAAAACUGAGGGUUUUAUUGUACAUAAAUAUCAUACACAUCCACACACACAUAUAUACAGCCCUUUUUUUCUUUUAUUUCUAGCUAUGCUAGAUUGAUGUGUAGAGAGGAUCUCCUUAAAUUCCCUACGUAUUCACACGCUUGAAAAUGGGGUAAGUCUUUUGUAUAGAAAAACAAAAAGAAAAUGAUAUGAAAUAUUACUUUUCCUUUUCUUUUA